GAGGGGAUAGCUCAGUGGAAGAGCGUAUGCCUAGCAAGCACGAGGUCGUAGGUUCAAUCCCCAGUCCCUCCA
rfam:Camelus ferus unplaced genomic scaffold scaffold394, whole genome shotgun sequence.